rnacentral:rRNA from 1 species
AACGAACGCUGGCGGCAUGCCUAACACAUGCAAGUCGAACGAGAUCUUCGGGUCUAGUGGCGCACGGGUGCGUAACGCGUGGGAAUCUGCCCAUUGGUUCGGAAUAACAGUUGGAAUCGACUGCUAAUACCGGAUGAUGACGAAAGUCCAAAGAUUUAUCGCCAGAGGAUGAGCCCGCGUAGGAUUAGCUAGUUGGUGUGGUAAAGGCGCACCAAGGCGACGAUCCUUAGCUGGUCUGAGAGGAUGAUCAGCCACACUGGGACUGAGACACGGACCAGACUCCUACGGGAGGCAGCAGUGGGGAAUAUUGGACAAUGGGCGAAAGCCUGAUCCAGCAAUGCCGCGUGAGUGAUGAAGGCCUUAGGGUUGUAAAGCUCUUUUACCCGGGAUGAUAAUGACAGUACCGGGAGAAUAAGCUCCGGCUAACUCCGUGCCAGCAGCCGCCGUAA